CUGGAUUUUUUUUCCAGGCUACCAAUGCAACUGAUGUAGUCCUGCGCAACACAAAUAAUUUAGUGGUGCUUGGAUCUAGGAGUGAACUGGGUCAGGGUUCUGUACUAUAGGAGGAAACAAGAUGGGGCAUGUGUUUUUCAAGGAUAAAUAUUGGAACUGAUGCCUUGCAUUGAUCUCUCUGAUCUGGUCGGCCUGGCGCGGGAACUGAGCCGCCGUCGAUGAAUUUAUCGCAGCUUGGCUACCUGUUGCUUUGGAUCCGCUUUGAAUGCAGGUAGGUUUGUUCAUAGGUUUAUGCGGCGCAUGUACUGGCAUAAUACUUGUUGAAGCACCUCCCUGGCUUCCUUGCCUUGCUGCUCUAGCACCAGCCUCGCCACCACUGAGG